rnacentral:rRNA from 1 species
UCGAACGGUAGCAGGAAGGAAGCUUGCUUUCUUUGCUGACGAGUGGCGGACGGGUGAGUAAUGCUUGGGAAUCUGGCUUAUGGAGGGGGAUAACUGCGGGAAACUGCAGCUAAUACCGCGUAAAGUCUUUGGACUAAAGGGGGCGUUUGCUCUUGCCAUAAGAUGAGCCCAAGUGGGAUUAGGUAGUUGGUGGGGUAAUGGCUCACCAAGCCGUCGAUCUCUAGCUGGUCUGAGAGGAUGACCAGCCACACCGGGACUGAGACACGGCCCGGACUCCUACGGGAGGCAGCAGUGGGGAAUAUUGCGCAAUGGGGGGAACCCUGACGCAGCCAUGCCGCGUGAAUGAAGAAGGCCUUCGGGUUGUAAAGUUCUUUCGGUGAUGAGGAAGGCAGUUUGGUUAAUAGCCAAGCUGAUUGACGUUAGUCACAGAA